rnacentral:misc_RNA from 1 species
GAUGAAGAACGUAGCGAAAUGCGAUAAGUAAUGCGAAUUGCAGAAUUUCCGUGAGUCAUCGAAUCUUUGAACGCACAUUGCGCCCACUGGUAUUCCGGUGGGCAUGCCUGUUCGAGCGUCAUUACGCCCCUCAAGUCCCCUGUGGACUUGGUGUUGGGGAUCGGCGAGGCUGGUUUUCCAGCACAGCCGUCCCUUAAAUUAAUUGGCGGUCUCGCCGUGGCCCUCCUCUGCGCAGUAGUAAAACACUCGCAACAGGAGCCCGGCGCGGUCCACUGCCGUAAAACCCCCCAACUUUUUAUAGUUGACCUCGAAUCAGGUAGGACUACCCGCUGAACUUAAGCAUAUCAAUAAGCGGAGGA